rnacentral:rRNA from 1 species
CCUACGGGAGACAGCAGUGGGGAAUAUUGCACAAUGGGGGGAACCCUGAUGCAGCGACGCCGCGUGGGUGAAGGAGUAUUUCGGUAUGUAAAGCCCUAUCAGCAGGGAAGAACAAUGACGGUACCUGACUAAGAAGCCCCGGCUAAAUACGUGCCAGCAGCCGCGGUAAUACGUAGGGUGCAAGCGUUAUCCGGAUUUACUGGGUGUAAAGGGAGCGCAGGCGGCGCGUUAAGCCUGGUGUGAAAGCCCGGGGCCCAACCGCGGGACUGCAUUGGGAACUGGCGCGCUGGAGUGCCGGAGGGGUAGGCGGAAUUCCUAGUGUAGCGGUGAAAUGCGUAGAUAUUAGGAGGAACACCAGUGGCGAAGGCGGCCUACUGGACGGUGACUGACGCUGAGGCUCGAAAGCGUGGGGAGCAAACAGGAUUAGAUACCCCUGUAGUC